rnacentral:rRNA from 1 species
GGAGUUUGGGCCGUGUCUCAGUCCCAAUGUGGCCGUUCACUCUCUCAAGCCGGCUACUGAUCGUCGUCUUGGUGGGCCGUUACCCCACCAACUAGCUAAUCAGACGCGGGUCCAUCUUGUACCGAAAAUACUUUUCACACUGUACCAUGUGGUACCGUGCGCUUAUGCGGUAUUAGCAGUCGUUUCCAACUGUUGUCCCCCUGUACAAGGUAGGUUACCCACGCGUUACUCACCCGUCCGCCACUCAGUCAACAAAUCGUCACCCCCGAAGGGAUCGUGAUAAGUUGCUUCGUUCGACUUGCAUGUGUUAAGCACGCCGCCAGCGUUCAUC